UGUAACCUCAGUUUUGUCCGGAGAACAGUACAUCCUUUUGAGCUUGACCCCAUAAAGCGUUUUAUUUAUUUGCCUUUUAAUUCCAGGGUCGGUCUCGGUCUUGGUGCACUCUGGCUGGUUUGUGGUGAGCGCUGGCAGCUCGCCUCCAUAGUCUUCGGGGAGGACGAUAAGCAGCGGUCCUCCCUUUGAAGAAGAUCUUUACAGUCCACAGCAGCCAGGAGCUGGUCCCACACACACCAUCGGGGCGUUUGCAUCAGAAAUCUUUUAACGCUGAAGAAGAGAAACACUGUUCUGAGUGACGUCUUCUAUGAGUGACGUCUUUCUAAGGAGCUGGAAGAACAGCAACAACUUUAACCUCCCCAGGUCUGUACUAAGGGUCCUGAGCAUGAGGUGUGACUACGCCACUUACCCAGGAAUUGAAAGGCAGAAACCAUGGACCGGGCAACUUGAGGAAAAAGGUUUGUUGAAGGAUUGUGAGCGAUAGAGACAGCUGCCUCCUGCUCUUCAUUAUCACCUCACCACUGAGCCUUCCAGGCUUUUCCAAGCAGCCCCAUCUAACAAUGCCUGUCCUUCCUUGUCACCAUAUGCUAAUACUUGGGGAACCCCUCACUGCUCCAUAGCUCCAGGACUGAAGCACACCCAUUCUUCCUUCUGCUCACCGACACAGGAGUCUGCCUCCUGGGACUGAGAUGGUAAGCUCCACAGGCAAGAUUCAAAAGGCUGCUGCCGAGCUACCCAGCUCCGGAGCUCCCUCUGCGAUGACUUGAGAUUUUUGUUGCGACUUCUUCACAGCCCCCUUUCCUUUCCCUUAUCAGCUAGGUAAGUGGAAAAUCUCCUUCACUUUAGCUCUGGCUCUUCAGGAAAGCUGACCGAGAGCAGGCACAAGCUGGCUGGGUGCUUUCUGUCUAUGAUGGCUGACGAGCCUUCCCACGGGAGUCUAAAACAUUUGCUGAUAUCUCUACUUGGCAGACAAAGUAAACCAUGUGUAAAAUUUUUGUACAAAGGCACACCGUUAAUAG